UGGGGAAUCUUGCGCAAUGGGCGAAAGCCUGACGCAGCGACGCCGCGUGAGUGGUGAAGGCCUUCGGGUUGUAAAGCUCUGUGGAGGGGGACGAAUAAGGGCCGUCGAAUAGACGGCUCGAUGACGGUACCCCUUUAGCAAGCACCGGCUAACUCUGUGCCAGCAGCCGCGGUAAGACAGAGGGUGCAAACGUUGUUCGGAAUUACUGGGCGUAAAGCGCGUGUAGGCGGCUCGGCAAGUCGGGUGUGAAAGCCCUGGGCUUAACCUAGGAAGUGCACUCGAAACUGCCAAGCUUGAGUUCUGGAGAGGAAGGCGGAAUUCUCGGUGUAGAGGUGAAAUUCGUAGAUAUCGAGAGGAACACCGGUGGCGAAGGCGGCCUUCUGGACAGCAACUGACGCUGAGACGCGAAAGCGUGGGGAGCAAACAGGAUUAGAUACCCUGGUAGUCCACGCCGUAAACGAUGGGUGCUAGGUGUCGCGGGUUUUGACCCCUGCGGUGCCGUAGCUAACGCAUUAAGCACCCCGCCUGGGGAGUACGGCCGCAAGGCUAA
rnacentral:rRNA from 1 species